rfam:Aspergillus tubingensis CBS 134.48 unplaced genomic scaffold ASPTTscaffold_1, whole genome shotgun sequence.
GGCAAGAUGGCCGAGCGGUCUAAGGCGCUAGGGUCAGGUGUAUCUGAUCAGACAUGUUUCUUCGGAGCAUUCCUAGUCUCGAAAGGGGCGUGGGUUCGAAUCCCACUCUUGUCA